CCUACGGGUGGCUGCAGUGGGGAAUAUUGGACAAUGGGGGGAACCCUGAUCCAGCCAUGCCGCGUGUGUGAAGAAGGCCCUCGGGUUGUAAAGCACUUUCAGUGAGGAAGAACGCCUGGUGGUUAAUACCCAUCAGGAAAGACAUCACUCACAGAAGAAGCACCGGCUAACUCCGUGCCAGCAGCCGCGGUAAUACAGAGGGUGCGAGCGUUAAUCGGAAUUACUGGGCGUAAAGCGCGCGUAGGUGGCUUGAUAAGCCGGUUGUGAAAGCCCCGGGCUCAACCUGGGAACGGCAUCCGGAACUGUCAAGCUAGAGUGCAGGAGAGGAAGGUAGAAUUCCCGGUGUAGCGGUGAAAUGCGUAGAGAUCGGGAGGAAUACCAGUGGCGAAGGCGGCCUUCUGGACUGACACUGACACUGAGGUGCGAAAGCGUGGGUAGCAAACAGGAUUAGAUACCCUUGUAGUC
rnacentral:rRNA from 1 species